UGCUGACUGCGAAGUCAUCUACCUGGUGUGGAACGAUGAGGAGGAUUUUUCAGACCGUGUGUCUGAUAUAUGCAAAUCCUGGAUAAAGAAGAUUUGUGUAUUCACUGUAAUCAAACCUUCUGACAGCCACAUUCUCUGCGGCUGGAUUUCUGGGCAUGAGGCUGAGUAUAUGGAGACGCUUCCUGAUGACCAAAUCAUGCGUUCCAUCACAGAGCUCAUCCAUACGUU